GUUUGAUCCUGGCUCAGAUUGAACGCUGGCGGCAGGCUUAACACAUGCAAGUCGAGCGGGGAGAUGUAGCUUGCUACAUUUCCUAGCGGCGGACGGGUGAGUAAUGCUUAGGAAUCUGCCUAUUAGUGGGGGACAACAUUCCGAAAGGAAUGCUAAUACCGCAUACGUCCUACGGGAGAAAGCAGGGGAUCUUCGGACCUUGCGCUAAUAGAUGAGCCUAAGUCAGAUUAGCUAGUUGGUGGGGUAAAGGCCUACCAAGGCGACGAUCUGUAGCGGGUCUGAGAGGAUGAUCCGCCACACUGGGACUGAGACACGGCCCAGACUCCUACGGGAGGCAGCAGUGGGGAAUAUUGGACAAUGGGCGCAAGCCUGAUCCAGCCAUGCCGCGUGUGUGAAGAAGGCCUUUUGGUUGUAAAGCACUUUAAGCGAGGAGGAGGCUACUUGGAUUAAUACUCUAGGAUAGUGGACGUUACUCGCAGAAUAAGCACCGGCUAACUCUGUGCCAGCAGCCGCGGUAAUACAGAGGGUGCGAGCGUUAAUCGGAUUUACUGGGCGUAAAGCGUGCGUAGGCGGCUUUUUAAGUCGGAUGUGAAAUCCCUGAGCUUAACUUAGGAAUUGCAUUCGAUACUGGGAAGCUAGAGUAUGGGAGAGGAUGGUAGAAUUCCAGGUGUAGCGGUGAAAUGCGUAGAGAUCUGGAGGAAUACCGAUGGCGAAGGCAGCCAUCUGGCCUAAUACUGACGCUGAGGUACGAAAGCAUGGGGAGCAAACAGGAUUAGAUACCCUGGUAGUCCGUGCCGCAAACGAUGUCUACUAGCCGUUGGGGCCUUUGAGGCUUUAGUGGCGCAGCUAACGCGAUAAGUAGACCGCCUGGGGAGUACGGUCGCAAGACUAAAACUCAAAUGAA
rnacentral:rRNA from 1 species